UGUAUUACGAGUUCUCCAGAGUGGUGGGGAAAAGUCUGCAAGAUAAUUUCUUUGAUGAACUUGACCGUUUUUCUUUUCCAGCUUUUGGCUGAGCUUUUACGUCAGACAAAGACCACUGAGCCAACAGACAUCAGGUCCCUAUGUCUUCAGGGACUGCCUGUCAUCUUGGCGGAUGAUUUUUCUGCUUUCUUCAGGACGUGCUCUGAUGUAACUGACAAGGACUUGUACAGUGAAACUCCAGUGGAAAUUCUCUGCCUUGGUCAAGAAAAUACCCAGCUCAACCCAUCCAGAGUAGGGAUCAUCUUGGAAGGGUCUGUGGUAAUGGAUGAACUGUCAAACCUACCUCAGGCCUGUGUCCUUUUCGGACUGAUCUAUGCCCUACACCUGGACUACCCCAAGUGCAUAAAAAACACUCAAUUUUAUUCAGCAAGUAAUGCUCAAACUGGGUAAAAGUGAGCUGGUACCCAAAAUUCAAACUUUGAAAAAUCAGCUGGAAGCAUAAAUCGGGUUCAAAAUGGCCCUUCUACUGUUUUAGAUUUGUUUGCCACAGUUUGUAAUGUUGGACUUUUAUGAAAACAUGUUUACUGUUGUGUAAGUUUUGGGGAACAUGUGUUCUGUGGUAUUUGAACUGAUUUUUGCACAAGAUUCCAUGACGCAGGCUUUGAUAAAAUUUAAUUUCAAAUUAGUUGGGUAUUUUAGUUACAUUACCAACUAAAAGCUAAAACAUUUCCUUUUUAGGAGUGUAAGUUACAGUACAGUUUUAAUGUGAUUUGUUGUUAUAAUGAUGUACACAUGCUUGAGCACAAUAAGUGUUUUUGUUGGCAUGAUGGCGCUUUGUUUUAUGCAAUGUUUAGGGCAGGGGUCGGCAACCUUUUUUACUCAAAGAGCCCCUAAUAAAAAAGAAAGCACCCGGAGCCACAACCCGU